CCGUCAGCAAAGACAUGAUGCAUGGAGCUAAAGCAACACUGGUGUAUAAAAAAAAGUGAGGCCAACAUUAGCGCUCACUGUACCCAGGUGCAAUGGCGGGCUCAGAGAGCCACAGCCUCAAGUACAUCGAUUCUAAUGCCUGGCUCCAGUGUCACCUGGAGGCCAUCAUCGCUUUCUUCCUUCCAGAUUUUCUGGAUACCCAUAGGCGACUGUGUAUGACGUCAUCCACCGGAACAAGAGAAAUCUGUUAGUCACCAUAUCCUCAGUCAAGAAAGAAUAUCCUGAGUCUUUUGCAGGGAACCGCAGUUUCUGUGAGUUCAUGAACGCGUUGGCCGUGUCAUGUCCAGAAGAUGGCUUUGCACAGCGCUCCUCCCUCCACUGCAGCUCCUCUAUAACCCCAGACUCGCAGGUAUCAUUCGUUUGUCUUGUUGGAUGGCUGGUUUUACCUUCCUCAGAUUUUGUCCUGGUAAGUUACAGAUGGGGAUGAAAACUGACUACUUUGGGUAAAGUCAUGGUUUGGAUUUAACAGCUCACAUAUUGAAGGGUGUGCCCAGCUCAGGAGAGUCUGGAAACUUGAACAGAAGGAAAUAGGUCAUAGGGAGCAUGCCUUUAGGGGCUCUGUUUCUUGCCUCCAGACUCUUUGUCCUAUCCACCAUGAGGUGAGGAACUUGUUAUAUGUUCCCAAUCCCAUGGUCCUGCCUCCUGUGGACCUAGAAUUCUCAGAACCGUGGACCAUGGGACAAAGUUUAAGAAAACAUGAGUUAAAAGACCUCCCUCCCUUGAGUUGCUUCUGCUAGCAUGCUAGGUAUUCUAGUCUGGAGCAGUAGCGAAUAUCUGAACACAGGUAAGGGGAGGAGAAGAAUACUUCAGGAAGACUGGAUUCCCAAGGCACUGCAAAACCUUCCCAGUUGUCUUUUACCUCCAAGUGCUCUCCCUCUCCCUAAAAAGUAGCUUUUAAUGGUAGUCCAUGAAAGUAUAUGUUAGCAGAAUAAAACACAAGUCAAGUGAAACAAAAAAUGGAAGAAUCUCCCCAUGGCCUUGGUAGCUACACGACUAGGCUUGGGAGUGGGGGUGGGGUAUCACAGAGAAUUUAGAUUUAUACCCAAACAGUGUGAAAACCAGGCAACAGGCUUGCCUGACUGUAAAAUUAAACAGAAUGUUUCCACUGAAGCAAAGCUCCUAUUGUAUACAGAAAUACGCUUUGUGAAAUACUUUCUCGUAAAGUGGGAUGUUACUUUUUUUUGUUUUUUUUCAGUGCUGGGGAAUGGACUGAGGCCUCCUAACCUGUAGGCCAGUGCUUCCACUCAGCCACAUCGCUAGAUAAGGAAGUGGGGAUUCUUAUUUGCUCUUCCUUCAUAAUAGAAUGCAAACACAGAUGUACCGGCCAUAACAAUGGCAUCUAAUAAAUACACUAAAACUGGACACUCGUGGUCGCAGAGGAUUCACAAUUGUCUCCAAUCACAUAGGCAAUCCAUUUGGCUAAGACAGUCUAUUGAAUCCCUGACUGUAAGAUCUGUCUUCCCACCCACCUGCACUUUUGGCUCUCAUAGAAUUUCUGUAUAUAUCUAUUAUAUGUAAUAUUUUAUAUAACUGGAAUGUAUGAAAUAUGUCUAUACAAUAAAUCGCACAUGUAUACACAUA